ACGGCCCUGGACAUUCCAGCAGAUCUUCGCGUGACGCUCCUGUCGAAUGCGCCUAAUCCCUUCGGCGUGCUCAGCUCGAAAGCGACUGGAGAGCCGCCGCUGUGCUUGGCGUUCGGGAUCGUCGGCGCUCUCCGACAAGCCAUAGCGGCCGCCAGGGCCGAUGCCGGCGUCAUGGGAUGGUUUCAUAUUCCGUCGCCUCUGACAGUCGAGCGCAUUCAGCAGCUGUGCCUGGUUGACCGCUCGCAGUUUGUGCUCCGCGAAAACCGUGAUUUCCUAUCGUCUACACAUGAGCAGCAAACUCAGCAAGAAGCCUGCACAGAAGAUUCGCAGAAAAGGCCAGCAGCAGAAAUGGAAACCGAAGAAUCAACCCAAUGCGUCAUUAACUGAAAAAAGCUGUUCUUUCGGUGUACCUUAAAUAAUUUUUUUUCAGUGUUAUAUGUUUCGAAGUAAUAUUUUUAGAAGAAUUUUCAUGAAAAUUUAAAGAGCAAUGAAAAUACUCAGGAAAAUGAAGUAUAAUUUCAUUGGAAAAUUUUCGGAAACCUGCUUCAUCCUCACUUAGGAACUUCCCAAAAUAAGGGCAUUAUGAACAGAACAACGACUAAAUUUAUACCGAAGAGACUAAAACCAAAAUAGCCGCCUGAACUGGCUUUUUCCAGUUUUUAUAAUAAUUAAUGGCAAUUCCUAAUUCAUUUAA